UACGAAGGGGGCUAGCGUUGUUCGGAAUCACUGGGCGUAAAGGGCGCGUAGGCGGCGCGGUAAGUCACUUGUGAAAUCUCUGAGCUUAACUCAGAACGGCCAAGUGAUACUGCAGUGCUAGAGUGUGGAAGGGGCAAUCGGAAUUCUUGGUGUAGCGGUGAAAUGCGUAGAUAUCAAGAGGAACACCUGAGGUGAAGACGGGUUGCUGGGCCAACACUGACGCUGAGGCGCGAAAGCCAGGGGAGCAAACGGG
rnacentral:rRNA from 1 species